AAUGAAAAUUAAAAAAUAAAUAAAUAAAGAGAAAGUCGGGUCUUUUGCACCAUGAUCUCAGGGCUUAUUUAUCAUGAGCUGCGCGGUCAGAGCCGUGUGCUUUGGUGCAGGUCGAAGAGGAACAGCACAGGAGCCCACCAGGGACAGCGCAAGUCAGCCAGCUCUCAGUGAGGCUGCCAUGCAGUGCAAGGGGGGGAAAACGUUUCAAACGCUGUGCUGGGGUGACAGGAUAUCUGUAUAGGAAAACGAGCCCUCUUGACAGCUAUGUUAGACAAUUUGCAAAAUUAAUUCAAGGUGGAUGACAAACUUCAAAGUAAAAGCUGAAGUUACUUCCAGAGGGAGAGCUUUCUGUCAUAAUGGGUGUGUCAAAGAUUUCCUAGAGGAGAAACAAAAAGCUUGAGCCAUAAAAGAAAAAAAUAUAAUAGUUUAGACUUCAUUAAAAUCAACAUAUGCUCAUCAAAAGGCAAAUUUAGUAAAUACAAAGGCAAGCCACAGACUGGGAGGAAAAUAUCACAAAACAACGACUUCUAUCUAGAAUAUAUAAAGUAAUAAAAAGAACCCUUUUUACAAUUCAAUAAUAAAAAGACAAUGCUGUUUGAACAUAAGCAAAUCACUGGACAGGCAACCCACAGAGGUACCACCAAUCGGCUGUGAACAGCUGUAGAGUGAGACCACACACACCGCAGACUCCAAGGGAAAAGACAGAUGUGGAGCGGCUGGCGGGCACCGUGGGAAACAGCCCGGGAUCUCCGGAAGGCGGAGCACGCCACGUGUGUUCCCGGGGCACAGUGUGCCAGCUGCCCUGCUCGUAGCAGCCCAGAUGCCAGAAGCACAGGAGUGGAUGGGAAAACAAACGAGGGUCUGGGGCACCACGGGGACAUCUGCACUUCAGUGACUCCGUUCAGGACGCUGCAGGACCACAGAACUGACCUGCAGAGAUGAAGCGGAGCAGCGCUGUCUCGGGUGCCGGUGCCUGACCGCAAAGAGAUUCUACGAUCUCCAUGGCUGCCCCUCCUCGGCUCUCGAGGGUUACAGGAACACUGGGCCAGGACGGGGCUGGCACAUCUCCUCGGCUGUCCCUGGCUCCUGAGUCCCUGCAGCUGCGCCUCUGCCAGCCACCUGGCCACACUGGGAGUUCUGUCUUCACCUUGUCCCGGCCACAGCCCCCUUGGGUCUCGUAGCAUGUUCCAGAGGGAGCUCCGCGACCUCGGGCUCUGACGGAGCACUCUCCAACACCCAGGCCGGGUCUGGGCCCCAAGGCGGGCAGCAAGGCCCCGACGCCACUGGCCCCAGCAGUGCUCUCUGCCCCCAGCCCCCCAGCAGCAGGGACCUGUUUCCUUGGAGAGUUUAUAGGCAGAUGUUGUGAAAAUAACAAUUAUGUGGUUUGGGUGGAUUCCAUCUCUACAGCUAAUCAUAGAAACUAAUUAUAGGUUGUAUUGCUGAGUAAUUUCAGGGGAAAAUCAAACAAUGUUAUUUUCUUACCAAUAAGCCAGUCAACUAUGUUUAAAGUCUUAUUAACCAGUAUGGGGUAUGUUUUAUUCAACAAUCAAUUUUUUAACACAGAGCUGGCAGGUGUCAGCACCCUGCACCUGGCCCCUUGAGGUGUGUGGAUCUGAAGGCCGCAGGACGGCUCCAGCUGGGAGCACCGAUGUGGGCAGGGAAGUGGGGUGGUCCGCUCAGCCCCUCUGGGCAGGCAUGCCUGAGUCCAGUGAGUUAUUUUAAGCACCCAUUGUUCCUUGGGCAGUUGAGAUAGAGGAGGGGGCCCUCAGGGUCCAGAUGGGUCCCUCUGGCAGGUGCCUGUGCCCUGUGGCUGCCCCACCCUCGCCCUCAGAUUCCAGCCAGGUCAGAGCCCCCAGUGACUGCCUAGGGGACGUGGGCCACCUCCUCUGGACCCUCUUGCCAGCUGCAGAUGGGGAUUCUGGAAACUAUGUGGGCCCCACAACCAGUGCCCUGGCCCAGCCCACUGGUACAGACAGACAGCUGACCGGGGCUGGCCAACCGGACGCUGGAUCCUAGGAGCCUGUAAGUCUGAAUGUCUCAUGAAGGUCUCAUGAUGUGGGUGUGACACAUCACAGUGGCCUUUGCUCCUAGUUCCCAGCACAGAGCUCCUGCAAGCCCCGGGCUUUCUUGAGUGUCAGGAGCAUCUUCUGUUGUUCACAGGAGUCCUGAGUUUAUAACAAUGAGAUGACUCAACUGGGGCCCUGGACAGUUUCAACACACAGACCAGGUGGCCACAGGGGAGACACUCAGCCCCCCAUCCCGGACCUCUGAGGACAGGCAGAGGCUGGAGCUGUGCUGCAAAAACUCCUGAGUAACCCUGAAUUUGUAGUUGGCCAGAGGAUGCAUGGGUGGCCUGGAGAUCCCACGCGCAGCUGGGGAAUAAAGUAGGGCAGCCCUGUGGGGCUGAGCCCUGAACCUGUGGGUCAGAGAUGAAUUGUAGGACACCGCUAGUGUCGGACAAUCGUUCAGAGCAUCUUAACUGUGGGGUCCUCAAUGGAGGGCCUCGACCCUUGCCUCCAGGGUCCUGGGGUUCCACAAGUACCCAGUCUCUGCCAAGUGAUGUCCCCCCAUCCCCAUACCUCUGUCUUUCUGGCUAACCCUGUCUCUCUGGCUGUCUGCCGUCUCUCCCCGUCUCUCCCCCAUGUCUCUCUCUGUCUCUCCCUGUUACUCUGGCACUUUCCCAGUGACUUGAAUUAGUCCCCAUUCCUCACAUCCAGGGAAACUUCACCUUGUCCACUGGGAGCUCUGAGUGUGUCUGGACUGGGGGACAUCCUGCCAGCUGCCCUCUGGAGCUCCCGCCCUGUGUCCUGUCCUGGGCAGGUCGCUACAGAGAGUUGGGUAGAAAGGCUCAGUCCCCACAGGCGUGGGGACCUGGUGUGGCCCCAAGGAAUAUCCAGGAUGCAGAGAUGUGUCCAACCAACUGGCCUCUGCUGACACACCUCCUGGGAAAUGUCCCUCCAGGCUUCCAGAGACAGUGACACACUGAGUUAGCUGGGUAGCCCCGGAGAAAGCCAUUGGGAGUUGCUGAACAUGC